rnacentral:lncRNA from 1 species
UCGCCGGCAGCGAGUCGCUCCUCUCCUCCCUCGCCGCAGGCGGCGACGGCGAGAGGGCGCCGUUCGUCGACCGCGACCCGGAGCUCUUCUCCGUCAUGCUCUCGCUGCUCCGGACCAACAGGCUGUCCUCCAAAGCGGCCGCCUUCGACCUGCAGGACCUCGUCGGCGAGGCCCGCUUCUACGGCCUCGACCAGGUCCUCCUCUCCGCCAUCUCCGACGCGGCCGGGUUCGACGCCUUCGACCUCCACAGCGCCGCCAUGCUCCCCCUCAACGGCCGUGACUGCCCCUCCGCCAUCGCCACCACGCCCUACGGCUCCGUCCAUGUGGCGCACGGCUGCAAGAUCACGUCUUUCGACUGGUCGCUCCGCCGCAAGUCGACGGUGCUCACCGGUUUCCCCGCC